CAAAGCAGACGCUCUGCCCAUCUGUCACUAGGAGCCGCCGCUGGCCUCCAACUACCCUUCCCUAAAACCUCAGCUUGGAGUAAACACCAGAUGUCAAGAACACAAAGCCUCUGAUGCUUGAGGCAGCACGGCCUCUGGAAGGAGAUGGGGCUGGAUGCCCUCUGCCUCUUUCGAGACACCAAAGGAUUCUUGCAGGGUUGGAACUGCAGUUUUCAGCCUACAGCUUUGCUCUGAUGUUUACACACACUGAAAGUGUGAAACAUACGGCAAGAGAGAGAAAGAACGUGGGGGAAGAGGUCACUGCAGCUUCUCUACAAAGCACUGACUCAAGUGAUUCAGAGUAAAACUAGUACCUUGGAACCAAAUAAUUAAAAGCCUUCCAAAAACAAAGACCCUGAUUAAACCUGAUAAGUAAAGUUUGGUCAUGAAAAUC
ensembl:lncRNA novel transcript